UCCCAUAUUGUCUAGUGGUUCAGAUACCUGGCUCUCACCCAAAGGCCCGGGUUCAAUUCCCGGUAUGGGGA
rnacentral:tRNA from 1 species